UUAAAGUUGAACUACACAUAUAAAGGGAACUUCAAAUUUAAACUAAAUGGAUUUUCAACUAAAUUACGACUAUAAUAAGAAAUAAAAUUACAUAGUCCUGACUGAUUGAGUUAACUACACUUGAUGAAAUGCUAUAAUAACUGUAACCUUCGAUUUCAUCCACAACGCUUGUCAAUUUGACGAACAAUAGCUUACAACAUUUCAAAAUGGCUUGAUUUGGGUUUGAGACUCACAGAUCUGGCCUAUUGAUGGCCAGACCCAUAAGUUGAAGCCAUGACAUAACAUUAUCAGUCCUUCACAAAUAGCUUGACAUGUUGUCUUAACAAACCAUUAGGAAGUCUAUAGAUUAGAAUUCAUGAUCAACAAAUUAUGAUGUGGAGAUGCCAAUAAUAGAAACUAAUAGUAAUACAUGUGCUUAAGGACAUUCAUAACAGCAGCAAACAGGUCAGAGGUGAGCGAAUGCCAAUUCAAGCCAUUCAAAUACUUAGAACAUUGCAUAAGAAGAUAUAUAACAUCAUGUAAGCACAACGACCAUCUGAAUUUCACAGAUUUCAAGCUCAAAUUGAUUGUGCUAAGCUCAGAAUCAUACAAAGUUAUCAAUGUGUACCUUAAAGCAGCAAAAGUAAGUAGAAGAGAAAAUAAGUCUCUGAAAUUCUGAGAAGAAACAGCAGCAAGAACACAAAGCAGAAAAACCAAAACCACAGCAGCCUCAAACUCAGACCAUGAAUCCCAGCAAAAGAACAUUGGGAAAUGAAAAGAAACACAGCCUGGAUUUUUUUUCUUUUGUUUUCUAGCUUUAAACUUAAAAAGAAGAUCAGAUUGAAAAAUGAGGAGAAAGAGUCUUGGAAUAUUUUUUUCAGGGCUCUCUUGCGCGUCCGAAAAUUCCUGUUUUAGAAUGCAGAAUGAGUCCUAUUAUAUAGGCUGUGUGUGUGUAAUCAGAGAGAAUGAGAGAGAGUCCCCAAAAAAAAUAGAAUUUGUCAGGCCCUCACUAAAAUUUAGGAAAAUAGCAUCUUUCAAAACUGAAUUUGGACAAUUGUCCUUGUUUCUAGAUGGUUCUUUUUAUUUCUUACCAUUUAACUUCUGAAAAUUAUUUCUUGUGACCCCAACUUGAAAUGAACUCUGAUUUUUAAAAAAAAAUGCAUUUUAGUCCCUUCUAGAGACUUCCCCAACAAACAAAUCAGAUUCCCUAAUUUUCCAAAUCCCUUUGACCCCUUUAACUCCUAUUAAUUACACAUGAGUCAUAGCAGAAAGAAAUCAUGUAAAUCAGUCCCAAUAAACAAAGAAGCAAAAUUAAUCUAAUUAACUCAAUAAUUAAGACUAAUUAGCAUGCAAUUGAGCUGUUAAAAUCACAUAAACCCUUAAAACAAAACAGACAUGUUGCGCCUUAAAACAAAUAGCCAAAAUGUUAAUUUACUGUUAAUUAACUAAUUACUAAGCUAAACUAAUUAAACUGAGAUAAACGUUCAUCAAACAAGUUCUGAUUAAACACCUAAAACACAUUGUUCUUCUCUCUUUUUUUUUAAUCUUUCUUAAAGCAAACAAAAUAACAAAACAAGAUAAAGAGGGCAAGGAUGUACCUAGUAAAGAAAAACAAAACUACCCAUCUUGAAGCGAAACAAGAGGCUCGACCGGAUUCCGAUGAUUCCGUAAUAAACUAAAGCUUACAUUAAUUAAUUGUUCUUGACAAGAACAAAUAAUUAAUGUUAGUUUCAACUCAAAACAGCUUGAACUUGAUGAAGGAAUCGGAAAGAACUAAAUUAGGUUUUCUGGCCGAUUUUAGAUCUAAAAUUCGAGGAUUUUGAGUGGUGUUUUAGGAAAAUUGAAGGUAGAUUUGGAUUGAGGAUGAAGUGAGGAGUGUGGGGUGUGAAUUUGGGCGGAUUUGGAGGUCGUUUGGUGGUGCCAAGAUGGCGACCGCUGGUGGAGGUUUGUGGGAGUUUGGGGGCGGCUAGGGUUAGGCUGAGGGAGAGAGAUGGAGAAGUGAGAGGGAUCUGAGGGGUUUGGAAGAGGGGGGGGGGUCUCCGACAGAUAUAGGGGAUUGGAGAGUGGAGUUGUGGGUCGUUCGAUCAAAGGAAAUCAACGGCUAAGAUCGACGUUACGAAAACGACGUCGUUUUGGUUUAGUGAGGAAUCUGGACCGGAUUGGGGAGGCGUUGGACCUGGGCCGCGUGAGUUUGAGGGGAAUCUUAGCAGUUGGGCUUCCUUGAGAAUGGUCCAAUACAAAUACAACCCCUUUUCUUUCUUUGUUUUUCUCUUUCUUUUCCUUUAAUUUAAAGUUCUAAUCAAAUUAAUUAAAAACUAAAUUAAAUCCUAAUUUAAAUCUAAUUUGUAGAAAUAAACUUAGUUAUCUAUUUUACUAUUUAAAUAAUUAAUUAAUUUAAACUAAUGAAAGCAAAAUUACUAAUUUGCAAUUAAGAGCUAAAAUGUAAAAAUGACCCAUAUUUUUUGUGAUUUUUCGUUUAAUAAUGCAAUUAACUCAUGUAAUUAAAUAAUAAUAUGCAAUUAAAUCUAAGAUGCUAUGCAAUGAAUAUUUUAUAUAUUUAUGGUAUUUUUUAUAAUUUUAAAUAUUAAAUAAGUAACUAAAUGCAGACAAAAUUAACCAAAAAAUCCUAAAAUUCAAUAAAAACGAAAAUAAUUUAGAAAGAUCUACUUUUGAACUUUGUAGGAGUAAUUUUAGGAAGACAAAAAUCAGGUGCUCACAACUGCCCCUCUUUGCUCCGAAACACGAAGAGUUUUUGGGCAAAGAUAAAGUGAGCAAAUACGAGCAAUUUUUUGUCCUUUUGGAUACUCCAUGGGAAGCGUUAUUAAAAAGUCUGACUGAACCUUGCUUCGGAGGUUGUCUACAUAUUCUUGGCUAUAAAGGAAUCAAGUCAGUGUAGUUCUGAAAGUUUUAGUAGCUGGGACUACCGAGAAGCUGUGAUUUCACUGUUGUUGCUGUUGUUACUGCUUGCUGACCUCAUUAUUAUACCAAAAUCAAAAUGAAAAAAAACUAAGCAAGUCUAUCAGCUAUGAGUUACAAGAUUCCUAUCUAUAUGUGAUGACCCAAAAUGUCAUCUUUUUUUAAUGAUUAAUUUUGUGUUCUAAGACCUCGAAAAUAAAAAUACUAUUUAUCAUUACUCGACUUGCGUGCGCAGUUCGUAAAAUUUUUCAGAAAGUUUUUAUGUGAAAAUGGAUUAAAAUAUGAAUUAGAGCUUUAAAACUCAACUGAGUUGACUUUGGUCAAUAUUUUGAGCAAACGAACUCGGAUCAGUAUUUUGAUAAUUCCGGUAGGUCCGUAUCGUGAAUUGGGACUUAGGCGUAUGCCCGGAAUUAAAUUCUGAGGUUCCUAGCCCGAGAUAUGGAAGUCCGUAGUGGAAUUAGGCUUGAAAUUUCGAAAGUUGAAUUUUAAGAAAGUUUGACCGAGGGGGCUGACUUUUUGAUAUUGGGAUCGAAAUCUGAUUCUGAAAAUUUUCAUAGCUCCGUUAUGUCAUUUAUGACUUGCGUGCAAAAUUUGAGGUCAAUCGGACUUGAUUUGCUAGGUUCCGGUGUUGUUUGUAGAAAUUAAAAGUUUCAAUAUUCAUUAGGCUUGAAUCUAUGUGUGAUUCAUAUUUUUAGUGUUGUUGGAUGUGAUCUGAAGAUUCGACUAAGUUCAUAUGGUGUUUUAGAACUUGUUGGUAUAUUUGGUUGAGGUCCCGAGGGCCUCGGGUGUGUUUCGGAUGCUCAACGGGUCAUUUUUGGACUUAGAGAAGUAGCAGAUUUUUCUGGUUUUUGUUGCAGAAGAUUGUUCUUCGCGUUCGCGAACGUGUGGUCAGUGGAAGCAUCACGAAAGCGAGGAGUAGGACGCGUUCGCGAAGAGUGUUUUCUGAGUGUGAGGUUUUGUUCUUCGCGUUCGCGAAGGGGAGGACGCGAACGCAAAGGUAUGGUCUGUGUGUGCAUCGCGAACACGUGAGUGGCGUCGCGUUCGCGAAGGAGAGCGAGGCAAGGAUCGCGUUCGCGAAGAAGAAACCACUGGACAGAAUGUUUAAGUUCAAAAAUGGGACUUCGUCCCAUUUUUCAUUUUUAACGAUUUGGAGCUCGGAUUGUGGCGAUUUUUGAGAGAUUUUCAGAUAAAACGUUGGGGUAAGUGUUCUUAACUCAAUCUUUGUUAGAUUACCCGAAUCUAUCACUGUUUUUAACAAUUAAUUGGUGAUUUAAGUUGAAAAAAAUUCGAAAACCCUCUUGGAUAGAUUUGAGGAUUUGAGGGUCGAACUGUUAUUGGAAUUUAGUCAUUUUGGUAUGAUUAGGCUCGUGGUUGAAUGGGCGUUCAUAUUUCGUAACUUUCGUCGAAUUCCGAGACAUGGGCCCCAUGGGCCAUUUUUGAGUUAAUUUCGGAUUUUUAUUGAAAAUGUAAUAUUUUCUUAUAGAAUUAAUUCUAUAAUUUUUGUUGACUGUAUCAAAUUAUUUAUGACUAGAUACGAGUCGACCGGAAUCGAAAAAUCGAGGAAAAGGCAUAUUACUUGAUUAAAUUGGAGCAAGUCGAGGUAAGUGACUUGUCUAACCUUGUGUGGGAGAAAUUCCCCUAGGAUUGGUAUUAAAUGUAAUGUGAUGAAAGUCGUGUACACGAGGUGACGAGUGUGUACACGGACUAAAUGUGAAGGAUUAUGUGUUCAAAUAAUGAAGAUCUUUGUUGCAUAUUAAUUAAAUUAUUAAAUCUUGAUAUAUUCUCCAUUAUUGAUUUGAUUUGUAUACCUUAAAUUUGCUUGACUUUUUCCUGCUAAUUGUUUUACCUGUUUAAUUGAAACUUGGUUUCUUUUAUAUUGUGCAUUAUUUGAAGGUUAAUUUUCUUUAAAUUAAAUAUUAUUAAUAUGAAGUAUUUGACAUUUCUAAAUUUGAUAUUGAAGCAACGUAUUAAAGAUUUUGAAAUAUUAUUUUUCUGAAUUAUUUAUUCCUGAAUAUUUCGUAAGAUUUUUGAAUUAUUUUGGUAUGAGCCGUGAGCUCUUUAUUAUUGAAAAAUAUUGUUGAUGAUUUAUUUUUGAAAAAAUUAAAAUAUUGGGCACUUGAGGUGCAGAUUGUGAUAUAUUGUGAUAUUGAUAUGCAUGCGGUGGUAUAAGGUCUGGGUAUUGAAACGCAUGCGGUAAGAUAUGGGUGGCUUGAUACGCGUGGCUAGUAGGGGUGACUACUAGAAUUCAUGCGGUGUGAUUAGGGUGGCUAAAAUGCGGGAUGCUAUUUCGAAAAAAAUAUUUUAUUUAAAUGAAUUGUGAAGGCUCCCGCGGUGAUAUAAGAAAAUGAGAUAUUGUGAAUUUAUUUAUGAUUUGGGACUACGAGGCGGUACCUCGGUAGUGCCCUUGUUGAUAUUGAUUUAUGGCCAUAGUUGCCUUCGAUUAAUUGUUGUGAUUUUCAUAAAGUUAAAAGGAAUUCUGUUUUGAUUCCACGAGAUAUUAUUUGCAAUUAUUUGGUGUCAUUAAAUGUAACAUACUAUUUGAUUCAUUUCCAUCGUCAUUUUAUCUUAUUAAAUUGUUUAAACAUUUUUUCCAUGUCAUUAUCUAUUCUCCAGUAGGGCCUGACCUGACCUCGUCACUACUCUACUGAGGUUAGGCUUGGCACUUAUUGGGUACCGCUGUGAUGUAUUCAUACUACGCUUCUGCACAACCUUUUGUGCAGAUCCAAGUACAUCUUACCAGUCUAGACGUCAGUGAGUUACCUGCACACGGAGACUUCGAGGUAUAUCUGCCAGCGUCCGCAGACUCCGGAGUCCCCUUCUGUCAUUUUAUGUUGCUUUCUUAUUUUUCUUUAGACCUUGAUACAUAGCAACAUUGAGAAUAAAUUUUUAAAAGCUUGUGACUGAUUUCUACCGGGUUUUGGGAGUUGUAAUUAUUUGAAUUGUAGUUUAUUUAUUUCAGAUAUUUAUGAUUAUUCCGCAUUAAUAGGCUUACCUAGUCUUAGAGACUCGGUGCCAUCACGACCUCCCACGGAGGGAAUUUGGGGUCGUGACCCUAUAGGUCUUCAGAAACUUGAUUUUGAAUCUUCUACAGUUCUGUUGUGCAUCUCGAAUUGUCGACUCGCAUUUUUGAGGCGAGCUUCUGCUACCUCUAACUUGAAUUGACCCUAUUCUUCAGGCGGGCUCCUACUACUGUCUUAAAGGUUGAAGUUAAUUCUGAAGUGACUUCCCUCGUUUUUCAGGUGGGUGCCUGAUGCUGACUUAAAAAUUAAAAUAAAUUCCCUCGUUCUCCAGGUGAGCGCCUGAUGCUGACUUAAAACUUGAAAUAAUUUCCCUCAUUUUUCAGGUGGGCGCAUGAUGCUGACUUAAAAUUGAAAUUUUCAGGUGGGCGCCUGAUAAUUACUUGCACUUGAAAUAAGUUCCCCCAUUCUCUAGGUGGGCGCAUGAUGCUGACUUAAAACUUGAAAUAAUUUUCCUCAUUUUCCAGGUGGGCGCCUGCCAAUGACUUGAACUCGAAAUAAAUUCCCUCAUUUUUCAGAUGGGCGCCUGCUCAUGACUUGAACUGAAAUGAAUUCCCUCAUUUUCCAGGUGGGCGCCUGCUCAUGUCUUGAACUUGAAAUAAACUCCCUCAUUCUCCAGGUGGGCGCCUGCCAAUGACUUAAAACUUGAAAUAGAUUCCCUCAUUCUCCAGUUGGGCGUCUGCUGACUCAAAACUUGAAAUAAAUUCCCUCGCUUUCCAGGUGGGUUCCUAAUGUUGACUUAACAUUUGAAAUGAAUUCCCUCGUUGUCCAUGUGGGCGCCUGCUCAUGACUUGAACUUGAAAUAAACUCACUCAUUCUCCAGGUAGGGCGCCUGCGCUGACUUAAAACUUGAAAUGAAUUCCCUCAUUCUCCAGGUGGGCGCCUACAAUCACAUUAACACAGACAAAACAAAGAAACUUUUUUGCCCCAGUUCGUACCAGGAACCUUCAUUGAGUGUUAGUUGAAUCCCAUUAUCCAGGAGGGUCCUGAAAAUUAAAAACUAGAUCCCAUUGUCUAGGAGGAUCCUGAAAAUCUGAACUUAUCUGGAACAUGCUUUCCUCAUGGAGUAUCCCUAUACAGCAAACACAAUUUGUUACCCAUGUUUCACUCAAAGAAAAUUUCGUCAGUUUUAAAAUGUGGUGGUUAGUUUGUGGCAUCCUUGUUGAAGGUAUCUUCUUCUGCCGCUACCACGCUUAAUUCUGAUUAGCUGCUUCGGCUAACAAAGAAUUGUUUGACAUUUUUGAUCGAUCCUUGACCACAAAAAACCUCUGAAUCUGAAUCCCUUACACUCAACUUGUUAUAUGGUACUUUUAUUUUGACAAUUGUUGAACCUUUGCAUUUCCUUAAAAUUCACGAAUCACUUGACCACCUGAACUUCAAUUACCGCCACAUUGCUCAUUUUGAAUCAUGUCACUUGUGAUGUGUUUGGCUGAAUCUCGCUUGGUGCAAUUAAAAAGUUGGUAAUGGGCUUUAAAGUCCUUUCUUUCUUGCAUAACAAAGACUAACUUGGCAGGGACUUAGAAAAAUAGACCCAAAAGAAAACGAAGCGAAGUGACUUCGAGAAUUAGGAAUAAAGUAGAAAUUUUUGAACAAAUAUGACUAUUUGAAGAAAAAUGGAAAAGAGACUUAUCUGAAUGAAGCAGUUGGCUCCAAUGAUCAUGACGUGCAUUUCGGAUUGAUCAGCCAAAUCCAUCCAACUAAUCACAUUUUAGUUCAUGCCAUUUCUUCAUACUUCAAACCGGGUUUCCAUAAUUCAAUUUCUCUGUAAAGUCAUGAACCUCAAUCGGCUUGUAGUGCCCCGAGGGCCAGCAAACCUCUCUCAUUUGCUCCUAUUUCAACUUACAGUUGCCUUACAGUGCCCGUAAGAGUUUUCACCAAUAAGACUCUCUCAUUAUGAAUUUUCUCUCAACUCACCAUCGCCCUACGGUGCCCGUGAGGGUUUUCACCAAUAAGACUCUCUCAUUUAUUCAUUUUUCCUUAUGCCCAUGAACAAAGGUGCUACCCAUGAUGUAAAUCAUACCUCUAUCUCACUUGACUUGGCAUCCUAAAAGUUGAUCAGAAGGUCUUUCUUUAGACUGUAGUGUAGGUUUUGGACAGGGUUAGAAAGAAAGGGUGGCAUGAAGGCUCAAAAUAAUUUAAGAUGAAGGGGUUCAAGAUUACAACUUUUGGAAUCAGAUCUUUUUAUAAAACUAAAACUUCUGCCCCAGUUUCUUCGAAUCUGGGGAAUUUUGAAUUUUUAUUUUGAUGGGACCGACCCAUAUAAGGCUGUCUACGUAUCCUUAACAGGAAUCAGGUCGAACGUAGUUCAAACUAGUAAAAGUUGUUUAUUUUUGUUACUUUGCUUUUCUUUUCUUUUUUUUUCUCCUUUCUUUUUCUCUUUUCUUUCUUUUGCUUUUCUCUUCUUCUUCUUCUUUUUUUUAUUUUUCUUUUCUAUUUCCAACUCUACUUCUGAUUCCAAAAGAGGGGUAUGAAAGAAAAUAAAUAAGGCUCAAAAAGGGGUAACAAAUGAUAAAAUUAUUUGGGAUAGCAGAAUAAAAUGCCUUCGUCAUUCCAACUUUGAAACAUGCCUAGUACAAAAUGCGAUUGAAGAUAAGUAAAGAAAUCAUACAUAAUAUCUCUUGGCUGCAUCAGAAUUGAUAGCCAUAUCCACACAUUUACCUUCUAUGUAUGUUAAAUACAAAGCACCAUUGGGCAACACCUUUGUCACAAUGAACGACCCCUGCCAGUUUGGGGCGAACUUGCCUUUAGCUUCAGCCUGAUGUGGAAGAUGCGUUUCAAUACCAGCUGGCCCAAUUCAAAUUUCCGGGGACGCACCUUCUUGUUGUAUGCUCUUGCUAUUCUUUUCUGAUACAAUUGACCACGACAUACUGCUGCCAAUCUUUUUUCAUCAAUCAAACUCAACUGCUCUAGUCGAGUUUUGACCCAUUCAUCAUCAAUUCCAGCUUCAGCAACGAUCCGAAGGGAUGGAAUCUCAACUUCUGCAGGUAUAACUGCCUCAGUUCCAUAUACCAGCAAAUAAGGAGUUGCACCUACUGAAGUACGAAUAGUAGUGCGAUAACCUAGUAAAGCAAAAGUAACUUUUCAUGCCAUUGCCUGGAACCUUGCACCAUCUUACGAAGUAUCUUCUUUACGUUCUUGUUAACAGCCUCAACGGCUCCGUUUGGCUUAGGACGAUAUGGAGUGGAGUUGAUGCAUAAUCUUGAAUUGUUGACAUACCUCUUUCAUCAAAUGAUUGUUGAGGUUAGCAUCAUUGUCUGUGAUGAUUACCUUGGGAAUUCCGAACCGGCAGAUGAUAUUUGAAUGAACAAAAUCUACCACCGCCUUCUUGGUCACGGACUUGAAAGUUACAGCUUUGACCCACUUGGCAAAGUAAUCAAUGGCCACCAGAAUAAACCUAUGCCCAUUUGAUGCUGCCAGCUCAAUUGGUCCAAUGACAUCCAUGCCCCAAGCAACAAAGGGCCAAGGUGCAGACAUUGUGUGUAACUCGGAUGGAGGGGAAUGAAUCAAAUCACCAUGCACCUGGCAUUGAUGACAUUUGCGAACAAAGUUGAUGCAAUCUCGUUCCAUGGUGAGCCAAUAAUAACCUGCUCAAAGAAUCUUCUUUGCCAAGACAUACCCACUCAUAUGCGGUCCGCAAACUUCGGAAUGCACUUCGGCCAUGAUGGUAAAAGCUUGUUUAGCAUCUACGCACCUUAGUAGUCCUAGAUCUGGAGUCCUCUUGUACAAGAUUCCCCCCAUUUAAUAAAAAUCCACUAGCCAGACGUCGAAUGGUUCUCUUUUGAUCACCUAUGGCAUGUACCGGAUAUACCCCCGACUUGAUGUAUUCUUUGACAUCAUGGAACCAAGGCACACCAUCAAGUUCCUCCUCAACCACAUUGUAAUAGGCAUGCUGAUCACGGACUUGGAUAUGCAGAGGGUCGACAUAAGUCUUAUCUGGAUGGUGUAACAUUGAUGCUAGAGUAGCCAAAGCAUCGGCGAUCUCAUUAUGAAUCCUGGGAAUAUGCCUGAAUUCUACUGACCUAAAUCGUUGACAAAGAUCAUGCAGACACUGUCGAUACAGUAUGAGCUUCAAAUCCCGAGUCUCUCAUUCUCCCUGAAUCUGGUGAACCAACAAAUCUGAAUCUCCCAAAACCAAUAUUUCCUGAACUCCCAUGUCUAUAGCUAGUCUCAAACCCAGAAUGCAUGCCUCGUACUCAGCCAUGUUGUUGGUGCAAUAAAAUCAAAGUUGAGCUAUUACGGGGUAGUGAUGCCUUGUUUCAGAAAUGAGUACAACCCCUAUUCGGACGCCUUUCAUGUUAGCAGCUCCAUCAAAGAAGAGUUUCCAACCUGGCUUUUCCUCAUGGUCAACCUCGUCAACAUACAUUACCUCUUCAUUAGGAAAAUAAGUCUUCAAUGGUUCAUACUCUUCAUCCACCGGAUUCUCGGCCAAGUGGUCGGCCAAGGCUUGGGCUUUCAUCGCGGUCCGGGUCACAUAGAUGAUGUCAAAUUCUGUGAGUAAAAUCUGCCACUUUGCAAGUCUUCCUGUGGGCAUAGGCUUCUGAAAGAUAUACUUUAGAGGAUCCAUACAAGAAAUGAGAUAAGUAGUGUAGGAUGACAGAUAAUGCUUUAAUUUUUGUGCUACCCAAGUCAGGGCGCAACACGUCCUUUCAAGAAGAGUAUACUUAACCUCAUAAGGAGUGAACUUUUUGUUGAGAUAAUAAAUGGCUUGCUCUUUCUUGCCUGAGAUGUCGUGUUGACCCAGUGCACAACCAAAAGAAUUAUCCAGGACUGUCAGAUAGAGAAUCAAAGGUCUCCCAUGCUCUGGCGGUACCAGCACAGGUGGGUUUGACAGGUACUUCUUGAUCUUAUCAAAUGCUUCCUGACACUCGUCAGUCCACUUAACCGCAGCAUUUUUCCUCAACAACCUAAAAAUGGGCUCAGAAGUCGUUGUGAGUUGAGCAAUAAACCUGUUGAUGUAGUUUAACCUCCCGAGUAGGCUCAUCACCUCAGUUUUAUUCUUUGGAGGUGGUAAUUCUUAGAUGGCCUUGAUCUUUGACGGGUCCAACUCAAUACCGCGUCGACUGACUAUGAAUCCCAAUAGUUUUUCGGACGGGACACCAAAUGCACAUUUCGCUGGAUUGAGCUUGAGGUUGUACCUACGGAGCCUUUGGAAAAACUUUCUCAAAUCCCCAACAUGGUCGGACUGCUUCUUUGAAUUUAUGAUCACAUCAUCUACAUAAACCUCAAUUUUCUUGUGUAUCAUGUCAUGAAAUAUGGUAGUCAUUGCCCUUAUGUAAGUUGCCCCAGCAUUCUUCAAACCGAAUGGCAUUACCCGGUAGCAAUAUGUCCCCCAUGGCGUGAUGAAUGCUAUCUUUUCUCCGUCUUCUUCAUCCAUCAGGAUCUGGUGAUAUCCUGCAUAGCAAUCCACAAAAGACCCGAUCUCGUGCUUGGCACAAUUGUCAAUCCAAAUGUGGAUGUUUGGUAAUGGAAAGUUAUUCUUUGGACUUGCCUUGUUGAGAUCACGAUAAUCAAUACAUACCCUGGUCUUAUCAUCUUUCUUUGGUACUGGCACAACAUUAGCUAACCAAGUGGGAUAUCGAGUGACCCGAAUGACCUUUGCGUCAAGCUGCAUUGUGAUUUCUUCUUUGAUCUUCACACUCAUGUCAGUCUUGAACUUCAUUAACUUUUGCUUGACUGGAGGGAAUGCCGGAUCAAUUGGCAAUUUAUGAACUACCAAAUCAGUGCUCAAACCCAGCAUGUCGUCAUACGACCAUGCAAAAGUAUCUUUAUAUUCAAAUAGUGCUUUGAUUAUUUCUUCCUUGAUUUGCGGUUUCAGAUGCACACUUAUCUUGGUUUCCCUGAUAUUAUCUUGAUCUCCUAAAUUGAUUGCUUCAGUUUUAUUCAGAUUAGGCUUGGCUUUUUCUUCAAAGUGAUUUAGUUCUCUACUGAUUUCCUGAAAUGCUGCUUCUUCAUCAUAUUCUGUUUCAUCACACUCUACUUCUUGGAUUGUUAUUUUAGAAUUAGAUUGGCUUUUAAGAUUUGGCUGAAAAUUCCUCAUGCAUGUCAUGUCAUUGAAACCAGCAUAAAAAGAAUUGUACAGAAAAAAAAAGAAACAAAAACAAAAAUGAAACGCUAUUAGGAAUAAUGGAAAAACGGAAAAUUGUAUUUCAUUGAAAAUAAAAAGAUAGAAAGGUUUGUACAUCAAAACAAGCAAACAUAAAAAUCUGGAUUACAACCCUGGGAUAAAUAAAAUGACAGAAAGGAAAACAAAGAAAACUACUAAAACUCCUUCCGGGUGGGGAGAGGAGUAGCUUUCCAAUUUCUAAGCUUCACAUUUGGCCCAACAAGCUGCACAUCGGCAUUACUGGAGCCUUCCCCGAUUUCUACCAUAUUAACCUCAUCAAAAAGACUCUGGAAUCUCUUGAUCAGCUCUUCAUCAAAGUCGACCACAGGUUUUGGGACUGCUGAUAUUGGGUGUUUUGCGAUCCCUGGCUUGACAAAAGACUUGGAGAUGUGUGGAACAGGAUUAGGAAGUGACCAUGCCUUUCUGUUCAAAUUUUUAGCCCUUUUCACGUCCUUCCCUGUGAGUGUGAAUCCCAAACCAAAUAUACCGAAACUUUCAUGUGGACACAUCGGAUGUGCAAUACCUUGCAGAGAUGAACCCAGACCUUUGCCUGGCACAAAAUCAUUCUUCAAUAUUUCAUUUGCUACCGUGACGGACGCGGAGGGUAGCUUUGGACCCGUAAUGCAUCCUCCCUCAGGAAUCUUCUCGACAGAUACUGUUUUGAACGUUUGGUAAACCCAUGGCCCUUUAUCAUCUUCAGCUUCAAUAAAUGGAACAGUUGUGUCAUUGUAAGCAGAUAAGUUCUCAUCACCGUGCACAACUAUUUCCUGCCUGUCCCAUUCGAACUUUACCAUUUGAUGCAGAGAAGACGGGAUUGCCUUGGCAGUAUGUAUCCAGGGCCUGCCCAAUAACAAGUUGUAGGAGACAGCCACAUCUAGCACUUGGAACUCCAUAGUGAACUCAACUGGCCCUAUUGACAAUUCGAGCAUUAUAUCACCGACAAAAUCUUUCCCUCCUCCAUCAAAGCCUCGAACACAUAUAUUGUUCAUGUGGAUCCUUUCAGUGUCAAUCUUCAACUUUUGCAAAGUGGACAGAGGGCAAAUAUUUACACUAGAACCGUUAUCGAUCAGUACCCUUGAGACAGCAGAAUCCUCGCACUUCACUGUGAGAUAAAGGGCUCGGUUGUGUUCUGUACCCUCCAUAGGAAGUUCAUCAUCUGAGAAAGUGAUCAUGUUUGCUUAGAAGAUCUUGUUAGCAAUCUUCUCCAGGUGGUUCACCGUGAUCUUAUCAGGAAUAUGGGCCUCAUUCAAAAUCUUCAUCAGGGCUUUGCGGUGUUCAUCUGAAUGUAUCAGCAAAGACAAAAGAGAGAUCUGAGCUGGUGUUUUCCUUAACUGCUCCAUAAUGGAAUAGUCUUGCAUUUUCAUCUCUUUCAAGAACUCUUCAGCCUCUUCUUCGGUGACCGGCUUCUUUACUGAGAUGUGGCCAUCCUUGAAUGGCUUGGAUUUCCUCAGUUCCUCUAGGUAAAACAUCUCCCAGAACGAGUCAGCCCUCCGGUUUCAUUGACUUCUUCCUCUACUUUUUUCCCUUUAUAUGUCACUAUCACUUGUUUGUAAUUCCACAGGACGACCUUUGUGUCAAUCAUUGGUAACUGGGUCACUGGCUUAAUAAUAACGAAGGUAAUACGAGCCCCUUCCACGAUUAUGACAGGCUUGCCCGGGAUCCCUAGCACGACCACUUUUUGCUUUUCCUGUUUCGCUUCACCAUCAAUCGGAGGCCCUUUCACAACCAAUACAGAUGGCUUCACGUUGAGCGUGCUUAGCUUCUCCGACACCCCUUCAAUUGUCAAAGGCAUUUCUUUUGCAUAAUCUGGAUCUUUAACUGGAUUACUUUCGCUAGCUCAGAUCAUCAUGAUAGACUUGGAAGAAUUAUUGGGCUCCCCAUCCUUAUGAACUAUCUCAAUCAUAUGUGUCUCUGUAUGGGCUGGCAAAGGAUUUUGGUUGAUGUUUGGCACCUCCGGGCUCUGGACCACAAUUUAAUUUGUAUCAAUGAGCUCUUGGAUCGCCUCUUCAAAUGCCAACACUUCUCUGUGUCGUGCCCUGGGGCAUCAGAACAAUAUGCGCAUCUGAGGGAACAAUGAAGGUUCCUUGGAGGUGGAUUUGGUAUCUUUGGCUCAAUCGGCCUCAAAACGUCCAAUUGCCUCAACCUUUGAAACAAAUUGGUAUAUGACUCUCCAAGAGGGGUGAAGGUUUCUUUCCGCUGCUGCCUUUCUUUUCUAUAAUCCGGCCUUGGUCGAAAUCUUGGACCAGUUGGGUUUCGGUAUAGUUGUGGGGGUGGAUAAGGAUUUUGUGGAGUUGGAGCACGCCAUUGCGGGUAAGGAGGGGGUUGCGUAUAUGACUGUGCAUGGUAAACAUGGUAUUAGGAUGGUCUGAGUGAAUAUUCAGGGUCUUGUGGUGGGAGAUAAUGUUGGGAUGGAUUAUAUGGAGCUUGGGUGUAGGCUUGGGGUCGAGGUUGGGUGUACUGGUGAGGCGAAUCCGCUGGGCCACGCCAUGAUCCAGAGACAAACAUAGCGACAUCAUCUUUCUUCUUUUUGCCUAACAGGCUUCCGGUGCCACUUUGAAUUGCCUGUGUGGUUGCUUUUAUGGCGGAGUAGCUCAUGAUCUUGAUUUACUUGAGUCCUUCUUCCACCAUUCCUCCCAUCUUUACCACAUCGUUGAAAGACUUACCUAUGGCUGAGAUCAAAUGGCUAAAGUAAGUAGGCUCUAGGGCUUGAAGAAAGUACUCGACCAUCUCUUCUUCUUCCAUUGGAGGAUUGACCCGUGCAGCUUGUUCUCUCCAUCUGAAACCAUAUUCCCUAAAGCUCUCGCUGGGCUUCUUCUCUACCUUGGUCAAAGAUAGGCGAUCCGGGACAAUGUCUAUAUUAUACUGAAAGUGCCGAGCAAAGGCCUGAGCCAAGUCGUCCCAUAUGUACCACCUGCUAGCGUCUUGGCGGGUGUACCAUUCCAAAGUUGCCCCACUCAGACUCCGACUGAAAUAUGCCAUUAAUAAUUCGUCUUUCCUACCAACGCCUCUCAUCUUGCUGCAAAAGCCUCUCAAAUGGGCCAUGGGAUCUCCAUGUCCAUUGUACAGGUCAAACUUGGGCCUCUUGAAGCCAGCGGGCAGUUGGACAUCAAGGAAUAAGCAUAAAUCCUUAUAAGCCACACUUACUUGGCUUCCUAUCCCUUGCAUGUUAUUCAAAGAUUGCUCUAAACUCUUCACUUUCCUGAAUAUCUCAUCUUGCUCCACGUUACGGGAUUAUUUCUCAGUUUCAACAGGAGGUUCAAAGUGAGGGGUGUAGGGAUAAGGAUCUGUGACUUUAAAAGUUGGUAUCUGGAGCUUGGAACGUAGGUUCACUAGAAGAUCGGUGGAGGGUAGCUUGCGGAGGAGCUACAAAAACAGGAGCAGAUGUCGGGGCAGGGUAUGCAGUUGUUUUGGCUGGUGGAGCGUGGAAAGUUUGGGACGAGGCGUCGGGGUAGUGGUGGUAAGGGGUAAAGCCCGGUGCAUGCUGAGGGGAAAGAUCAACGGUAAUGGGAUCCUGGGCUUGUGACAGUGGUGGGAUGAAAGCGGGAUUUUCUAUGUAGUUAGCGGGGAAUGAAGGUGGAGGAUGCCCCCUGAUCCAUGCUUGAUACAUUUCUGCCAUUUGAUGCUUCAACCUGUGGACCUCUUCUUUCAGUCCAGAUUCGGAUUCUACCAUCUCCCUCGGUGGGUCAACAACUCCCGUAUCUGUUUCUUUGCUGGCCAUGACUUCCUUGCGCUUUGAUCUAGUGUUAUAGGGGUGACUUGCCAGGAUGCCAACAAACUAACCACCUAAAUAGAACCUGUCUUAACAAUGCACACACAAUAACUUGGUCAAUUUUGAAGCAUUUAACAGACAGGGAAUCGCAUAUUGGGGAUGCGAUGCACCUGAGCAGUUAAACGUUUCUAAAUGCUUUGCGACGGCUUAUGUGUUUCAUCCCGGCUCUUUUCCCAAAUUCAAAUCCUGAUUUUCUUGUGCCGUGUUUCACUCUUUUAGUUCUCAUUCUCUCUUUUUUCCUUUUGUUUGGCCCUUUUUUUCUUUCUUCUAUCCUUUUUUCUUUUCCUCUCUUUUUUUCUUCUCUUUUCUUUUAUUUUAAGACUAUGAUCGAAUCAUAUGGAGAUUGCCUACGUAUCAUGAUGCCGCAAGAAUCAGAUCAUUACGUAGUUCAAGGAUAUAAAUACGAAAUGAAAGAAAAUCUUUUGGGUUUUCAAUACUUCAUUAAUAAAGUCACGUCAUCUUUUUUUGUUUUCUAUUACAAGGACUUAAAAGUACUGACGACUACAAAAGAAAACAUACAGACUCGAAAUAAACAGCUUUGAACAAAACUCUAGAAAGCAGUAAAGUACAGACUCGAAAAACUGAAAAGUCAAAAGUACAUGAGAGCCUCCACUAGUACUCUGGGAGCCUGCGAGACAUCAGCUGGUCUUUGCGCGGGCCUUCGCGCAAUGUCUUCUUUAAGGCCGUUUAAGUCAUCUAUUACCUGGUGGACGAAGGUCAUCAUAAAAGCAAAAAAAAUGGACCUAGUCAUGUCUUCACACUCGUGACAUUUCAUCACGACAUAGUGAGCUAUCUCCUUAAUUCUGGUUCUGAUAACUCCUUUUUCUUGAAGCAGACGCCCAAUUUGCUGUGCCCGGGCUUCCAACACUUGUGUGCUGGUAUUGUUUUGGUCCUGUAGUUGUUGCACACUUUCUUCUAGUCGGCCAAUUAGUGCGUAGCAGUGCUCCUUUUCUGUCUGAAAAUCUUUGAUUUGCUGGAUCAUUUCAUUCUCAAGGGCAAACAGCUUUUCCUUUAGAACUGUUAUUUCUUUGCCAUAUUUUUGUCUCAAAUGGUGGGCUUGUUCUUCUGCUCCUUUGGCCAACAUUGUUUGAGCAUUUAGCAAAUUCUUUUCGGCCUUUAUCAAGUCAGUUGCAUAGUCGUGUACCUACAUUCUUAUGUUACUGAUGAUUUUUUCAUAUCUUUCGAUCCUUACAGGCGUUUCGGCGGCUAUCCUCAUGUCCCGGAGUUGGGCUCGGAGAGCCUCGUUCUCUCGGGUCAAUUUUCUCUUUUCACCUUCGGUUACCUGUGCCUGUAAGUCAUUCUCAAAUGCGAGGUUCCUCAACUUUUCCUCUAAGGCGUGAAUGGUGGCUUGAUAUUUCUUUUCCUUUUCUCCCCAGGCCAAAUGCUCUCGGACUUUGUCAUCAAAAGCCUGAAUAUGAGGCCUUUUGGCGGGCCUUUCAGGCUCGGGCUCUGGUUCAUCAUUAAUGCAGUUUCUUCUUUCGAACCAUGUGGCAUAGCCUGGAUCUACUUCUCCUCUUGCAAGAUCGGGCACUUGGGUGUCCUCUUUUAAGUAUCGACAACCAUUCCAGAUUUGUUGGAUUAAAGCCUCGGAAAGUGGGGCUUCGGGGUAUAGCUCAAUAACUUGGACACUCAAAUCUUCAUCCUCAGGCACCACUUGAUAUCUUCCCAAUUGUCUUAGAACCCUUUGCGGUGCAUAUGGUUGGACACUUCUCAAGCCCAUCAAUAGCAAAUCGUUCUUUGUGGUUGUCAUGUGUAUGACUUCCCUCACUUGGAGCCAUCCUAAAGUCCACUCAAUUCGAUUCGCCUUUAAAGUUCUCAAGUGGGCGAUCCAAGAUUCAACCCCUUCUGGAGAGUUGUAAUCUUUUACCCUCUCCUCAUAACUCUCAAUGAAGUUGCUCUUGCUUGGGCUGUAGCUUAUAAAUUUUUGAUGAAGGCGAAGAUGUUCAAUUAACCACAUUUGUAGAAGGAUAUUACAACCUUCAAAGAACGUCGCCCCAGACUUACACCGUGUUAAUGCCCGAUAGAUAUCCGACAAUAUAAGUGGAGCAAGUGUGUGAUCUUCUUUGGCAGUUAUGACUUGUGCAAUUCUAGCCAUACGGAUAUCAAUCGUCCCUUUUUCAUUUGGGAAGACUAUGAUGCCCAGGAAUGCCACUAUGAAAGCAAAGUGACGAUGAAUUUUCCAAGUAUCUUUACUUUGCUUGUUGUUCAACCCCUUUUCAUGCGUUUCAAACCCAUUUGGAUGUCUAUACCUGGAGUACAGGAAGUAGAAAGAGCAACAUCCAUUGUUUAUAUUGUUCUUCCUUAUUUGUUUACUGAUGUUCAAAAUAUCAAAGAACCGGCGCACAGAGGGAGGCCUUGGGAAUAUAAGUUGCUAUUUUCUCAAGUUCCGGCCGAAACCAGUAUAUCCGGCUAUUUCCUCUAGGGUGGGAGUGAGCUUAAAGUCUGAGAAGCGGAAGACAUUGUGAACGGGAUCUCAGAAGGGCACUAAAGUCUUGAUCAGAUCAUUCCGGGGCUUGACCUUCAUAAUAUCCGUAAGAGCACCCAAAUGUUCUACUACCCAGUCUUGACCAUCUUUACCCAAGUCAUACCACCACAUUUGAAGCUAUAGUGGAGCCUGCUCUACAAUAUUUCACGGCGGGUUCUAGACAGUGUUCAUUUUGUACGUGUGAAUGGUUAGGGUUAGGGUUGACUCUAGUUCGGAAGACAGACCAGCAGACUCUUUUGCAAAAACCAGUUUUCAAUUUUGUUUCAAAGGGAAAUCACCUGAAGGUGACUAUUUGUGCGGCGUUGGCCAAAAUGGUCAUCUUUGCAAUAAUGGCCCCUUCCCACUUUCAAAUAAAGUUUUGAGGCCGAGGUAAGACACUUUAUGGGAAAAGUGAUGCCUUAUUGACAGACAUGUCCGUUCUUGACGAGACUAGCCAUUUGAUAAUUUAAAGGUAUUCUAUGGCUAUUCUGGCAAAAACGGCGCAGGACUUAAUCGAAGCUGGGUCGGUUUUAUUUUCUAACCAAUGGACAUACUUUAUUUAUUUGAUUGGAAAAAUUGGGGUCGGUACCGAUGAGAUUUGCUUACGUAUCUCACAUCCGGUGAGAAUCAGACUCGUGUAGUUCGGUCAGUUUUGACAUAAUUGGAAGAGCAUGAUAUUGAUUUACUUUCAUUUUUGAAAUGCAUUUUUUUUCUUUUUUUUCAAAACUUUUGGCAGAGUUUCGAGGCAUUUUCAAAUACCAGGGUUUUCAGAACCGGGUGAAUUUUCUAUCCUACCUCACUCUUGUUUUUUCUUUUAUUUUCUUAACCGAUCAACAAAUAAGCCGAAAUAAAUUCACACAUAGCAGGUAAGAUGCAUCAGGAUGGUCUUUAUUUCGGGUAUACUUGUCCUAGACGGACCCAACCCCUAUGUUGAGUCCCCUAAAUCAAACGCACGUGAUGCAAACAAACGUUCCUACUAGGGAUCUGGCAUAAGGUUAUGUUAUUCUAGGUUUAAACCUGGGGGUGUGUUCUAGACAUGGCUUACCCAAGCGGGACAACUUGAGCCGUGGUGGGAGCGACGUACCGGGAGCACGAAAGUCUACCCGGCCUAAUGGCUGAUCCAUCCUCGUUUUAUUUGGUAUGACCUCUAACAGAAAAGUGGGCCAUACAUACGUGUGCACCAUAUUUUUAGAAGACUCGGAAGGGAGGCGUAAGAAAAUAAUUUAAUAUAGUUCAAAUAAUAUCAAAGCGGUAAAUGAGCGGCAAUUAGCACAUUAGACCCACAAAUACAGUAAUAACGAUCAAUAAAGCCAAGUAAAAAUCACAACAACAAGCUCGAAUUCUUGAACCCUGAACCAGAGAUUCUGGGUUCGAUCCCCAACAGAGUCGCCAGAACUGUCACACCUCAUUUUUCCCGAGGGGGAUAGAGAGUUUUUCCAAUUAAAGUGACAUUAUUCAAAAUCGUAUUAUUUAAUUAUUUCAGAGUCGCCACUUGGGAUAAUUUAUGGUGUCCCAAGUCACCAGUUUAUUUUAAAUCCCAAAUCGAGGAAAUUUGACUCUGUUUAACGUCUGCGAAAAUCAAAAGACCGGGUAAGGAAUUCUGUUAACCCGGGAGAAGGUAUUAGGCACUCCCGAAUUCCGUGGUUUUAGCAAGGUUGCUUUAAUCAUACAUGGAUUAAUUAAAUUGUUUAAUUACGUGUUUUAGAACCUAUGUGCGUUUUACCUUUUACCGCUUUUAAAUUACUUUAUUAUGGCAUUAUGGAAUUAUCUUGAAAAUGAACCACGUGUGUGUGAAUCUGUUUGUUUGGUGUGCCAAAAAUCAUGUCACGCGUACGUGUACACAAUUAAUAACAAUUUAUUAAAAUUGUUCGGCCAAAGUCGCGCGAACGCGUACUUUGAUUUAUUUGGGAAAAUUAUAAUCAUGUAACGCGAACGUGUACACAAUUACGAUAAUAGAUUAAAUGUGUGCCUAAAAGCAUUUCUACAGGUGUUCAUGAAUUAAUUAUUUUUCUAGGAUUUGAGAUUAAUGUGAGGCCAUGAAUCAUGUAUAAGAGUGUGGAAGAAGCGUACAUUUCAACUAAUGAGAGCUAGAAGAAUUAAUUAAAUCUAAGUUGUUGGAAUUGUCUGAUGAUUGAUAGACAUUCACCUUUAAAAGGAAAAUGGGUCAUCCUAUGAACAAAUAAUUGACGCUGAAUCAAUUAUUGAUAGAGUGUCAAACAGACUUGAAUUUCGGCUCAGGUCCAGUUUUAUAAAGUACCUCAUAAUCCCAAUUAUUUCCCCAUUACUACGGUGGCCCAGACUUAUUUGUGUGGCAAUAAUUGCAGAGAAUUAAUCAGACACUUUACCAAGUCAAUUUAUAACACCAAGUCAGCUAAGUUCAUAUCCCAAAACGUAAUAAGCUACAUUUGAAGAAGAAAAGCACUAGUACAAUGGUUCCAAUUAUAUAAAUAAUUUCCUAAUGAAUUACUCAUGCCAUUAAGCUCUUGUGAUUCAAAUUUCAGUCUACUUUGUCUUAAAGUUUACUGCUCAAACAACUGCUUUUAACAUUCAAACGAAUUCAAAAUUGUGACUGAAAAUCUGUACAUAUACGCCUCAAACAGAUCUUUCACCAAGUGCUACAUUCACUAAAUCUCCGUUGGUCUCUAUUACCAAUGAUAGAAAAAUAAAACAACAUGCUUAAACAUUCAUAAUACAAAUUUGAACCAUUUUAUCAAACCAAUACUCAAGAAUUAAAGUUGAACUACCCAUAUAAAGGGAACUUCAAAUUUCAACUAAAUGGAUUUUCAACUAAAUUAUAACUAUAACAAGAAAUAAAAUUACAUAGUCCUGACUGAUUGAGUUUACUACACUUGAUGAAAUGCUAUAAUAACUGUAACCUUCGAUUUCAUCCACAACGCUUGUCAAUUUGACGAACAAUAGCUUACAACAUUUCAAAAUGGCUUGAUUUGGGUUUGAGACUCACAGAUCUGGCCUAUUGAUGGCCAGACCCAUAAGUUGAAGCCAUGACAUAACAUUAUCAGUCCUUCACAAAUAGCUUGACAUGUUGUCUUAACAAACCAUUAGGAAGUCUAUAGAUUAGAAUUCAUGAUCAACAAAUUAUGAUGUGGAGAUGCCAAUAAUAGAAACUAAUAGUAAUACAUGUGCUUAAGGACAUUCAUAACAGCAGCAGACAGGUAAGAGGUGAGCGAAUGUCAAUUCAAGCCAUUCAAACACUUAGAACAUUUCACAAGAAGAUAUAUAACAUCAUGUAAGUACAACGACCAUAUGAAUUUCACAGAUUUCAAGCUCAAAUUGAUUGUGCUAAGCUCAGAAUCAUACAAAGUUAUCAAUGUGUACCUUAAAGCAGCAAAAGUAAGUAGAAGAGAAAAUAAGUCUCUGAAAUUCUGAGAAGAAACAGCAGCAAGAACACAAAGCAGAAAAACCAAAACCACAGCAGCCUCAAACUCAAACCAUGAAUCCCAGCAAAAGAACAGUGGCAAAUGAAAAGAAACACAGCCUGAAUUUUUUUCUUUUGUUUUCUAGCUUUGAACUUAAAAAGGAGAUCAGAUUGGAAAAUGAGGAGAAAGAGUCUUGGAAUAUUUUUUCAGGGCUCUCUUACGCGUCCGAAAAUUCCUGUUUUAGAAUGCAGAAUGAGUCCUAUUAUAUAGGCUAUGUGUGUGUAAUCAGAGAGAAUGAGAGAGAGUCCCAAAAAAAAAAUAGAAUCUGUCAGGCCCUCCCUAAAAUUUAGGAAAAUAGCAUCUUUCAAAACUGAAUUUGGACAGCUGUCCUUGUUUCUAGAUGGUUCUUUUUAUUUCUUACCCUUUAACUUCUGAAAAUUAUUUCUUGUGACACCAACUUGAAAUUAACUCUGAUUUUUUUAAAAAUGCAUUUUAGUCCCUUCUAGAGACUUCCCCAACAAACAAAUCAGAUUCCCUAAUUUUCCAAAUCCCUUUGACCCCUUUAACUCCUAUUAAUUACACAUGAGCCAUAGUAGAAAGAAAUCAUGUAAAUCAGUCCCAAUAAACAAAGAAGCAAAAUUAAUCUAAUUAAUUCAAUAAUUAAAACUAACUAGCAUGCAAUUGAGCUGUUAAAAUCACAUAAACCCUUAAAACAAAACAGACAUGUUGCGCCUUAAAACAAAUAGCCAAAAUGUUAAUUUACUGUUAAUUAACUAAUUACUAAGCUAAACUAAUUAAACUGAGAUAAACGUUCAUCAAACAAGUUCUGAUUAAAUACCUAAAACACAUUGUUCUUCUCUCUCUUUUUUUUUUUUAAUCUUUCUUAAAGCAAACAAAAUAACAAAACAAGAUAAAGAGGGCAAGGAUGUACCUAGUAAAGAAAAACAAAACUACCCAUCUUGAAGCGAAACAAGAGGCUCGUCCGGAUUCCGAUGAUUCCGUAAUGAACUAAAGCUUACAUUAAUUAAUUGUUCUUGACAAGAACAAAUAAUUAAUGUUAGUUUCAACUCAAAACAGCUUGAACUUGAUGAAGGAAUCAGAAAGAACGAAAUUAGGUUUUCUGGCCGUUUUCAGAUCUAAAAUUCGAGGAUUUUGAGUGGUGUUUUAGGAAAAUUGAAGGUAGAUUUGGAUUGAGGAUGAGGUGAGGAGUGUGGGGUGUGAAUUUGGGCGGAUUUGGAGGUCGUUUGGUGGUGCCAGAAUGGCGACCGCCGGUGGAGGUUUGUGGGAGUUUGGGGGCGGCUAGGGUUAGGCUGAGUAAGAGAGAUGGAGAAGUGAGAG
rnacentral:lncRNA from 1 species